rnacentral:rRNA from 1 species
AGAUUGAACGCUGGCGGCAGGCCUAACACAUGCAAGUCGAGCGGUAGAGAGGUGCUUGCAUCUCUUGAGAGCGGCGGACGGGUGAGUAAUGCCUAGGAAUCUGCCUAGUGGUGGGGGAUAACGUUCGGAAACGGACGCUAAUACCGCAUACGUCCUACGGGAGAAAGCGGGGGACCUUCGGGCCUCGCGCCAUUAGAUGAGCCUAGGUCGGAUUAGCUAGUUGGUGGGGUAAUGGCUCACCAAGGCGACGAUCCGUAACUGGUCUGAGAGGAUGAUCAGUCACACUGGAACUGAGACACGGUCCAGACUCCUACGGGAGGCAGCAGUGGGGAAUAUUGGACAAUGGGCGAAAGCCUGAUCCAGCCAUGCCGCGUGUGUGAAGAAGGUCUUCGGAUUGUAAAGCACUUAAGUUGGAGAAGGCAGUUACUAAUACGUAUCUGUUUGACGUUACGACAGAAUAAGCACGCUAAUCUGUGCCAGCACG